rnacentral:rRNA from 1 species
CUAUACAUGCAGUAGAACGCUGAAGAGAGGAGCUUGCUCUUCUUGGAUGAGUUGCGAACGGGUGAGUAACGCGUAGGUAACCUGCCUUGUAGCGGGGGAUAACUAUUGGAAACGAUAGCUAAUACCGCAUAACAAUGGAUGACACAUGUCAUUUAUUUGAAAGGGGCAAUUGCUCCACUACAAGAUGGACCUGCGUUGUAUUAGCUAGUAGGUGAGGUAAUGGCUCACCUAGGCGACGAUACAUAGCCGACCUGAGAGGGUGAUCGGCCACACUGGGACUGAGACACGGCCCAGACUCCUACGGGAGGCAGCAGUAGGGAAUCUUCGGCAAUGGGGGCAACCCUGACCGAGCAACGCCGCGUGAGUGAAGAAGGUUUUCGGAUCGUAAAGCUCUGUUGUAAGUCAAGAACGGGUGUGAGAGUGGAAAGUUCACACUGUGACGGUAGCUUACCAGAAAGGGACGGCUAACUACGUGCCAGCAGCCGCGGUAAUACGUAGGUCCCGAGCGUUGUCCGGAUUUAUUGGGCGUAAAGCGAGCGCAGGCGGUUUGAUAAGUCUGAAGUUAAAGGCUGUGGCUCAACCAUAGUUCGCUUUGGAAACUGUCAAACUUGAGUGCAGAAGGGGAGAGUGGAAUUCCAUGUGUAGCGGUGAAAUGCGUAGAUAUAUGGAGGAACACCGGUGGCGAAAGCGGCUCUCUGGUCUGUAACUGACGCUGAGGCUCGAAAGCGUGGGGAGCGAACAGGAUUAGAUACCCUGGUAGUCCACGCCGUAAACGAUGAGUGCUAGGUGUUGGAUCCUUUCCGGGAUUCAGUGCCGCAGCUAACGCAUUAAGCACUCCGCCUGGGGAGUACGACCGCAAGGUUGAAACUCAAAGGAAUUGACGGGGGCCCGCACAAGCGGUGGAGCAUGUGGUUUAAUUCGAAGCAACGCGAAGAACCUUACCAGGUCUUGACAUCCCGAUGCUAUUUUCUAGAGAUAGAAAGUUACUUCGGUACAUCGGUGACAGUGGUGCAUGGCUGGUCGUCAGCUCGUGUCGUGAGAAUGCUGAUAGUCCGCACGAGCAACCCUAAUGAUAGCUGGCAUCAUUCAGUUGGGGACUC